GAUGAGCGCUGGCGGCGUGCCUAAUACAUGCAAGCCGAGCGAACAGACGAGGAGCUUGCUCCUCUGACGUUAGCGGCGGACGGGUGAGUAACACGUGGAUAACCUACCUAUAAGACUGGGAUAACUUCGGGAAACCGGAGCUAAUACCGGAUAAUAUAUUGAACCGCAUGGUUCAAUAGUGAAAGACGGUUUUGCUGUCACUUAUAGAUGGAUCCGCGCCGCAUUAGCUAGUUGGUAAGGUAACGGCUUACCAAGGCAACGAUGCGUAGCCGACCUGAGAGGGUGAUCGGCCACACUGGAACUGAGACACGGUCCAGACUCCUACGGGAGGCAGCAGUAGGGAAUCUUCCGCAAUGGGCGAAAGCCUGACGGAGCAACGCCGCGUGAGUGAUGAAGGUCUUCGGAUCGUAAAACUCUGUUAUUAGGGAAGAACAAAUGUGUAAGUAACUAUGCACGUCUUGACGGUACCUAAUCAGAAAGCCACGGCUAACUACGUG
rnacentral:rRNA from 1 species